GAUGCAAGAGCCAUGUGGACUGUACAUUGCCUCCUUUAUAUCUUUUGCCACUUUUGGAACAGUCUAAAGGCUGCUCUAUAGAAUAUUCUAGAGACAAAACAAUUUACUAAGUAAUGGAAUUCAAUUACUCCCCAUUGCAUCCAUUGUAGCAAUUAAGCAAUAAACUUUUCCUAGUAACAUCCCUAAGAGAAUGAACACUCCACUUGUUUAGCACUUGCUGAAUUGCUUGUCUGUUUUUAUUUUUCCAGGCAAUGUAAAUCAAAGCGUCUCACAGGGCAAAUGGACUCUGAUCCACCAACUGCAUUUGCUGAGAAUAAAAUCCAGAGCCGCCUCCCGCCCUUUCUCUUUCCACUUUCAUAAUUUCGUCCUAAUCAAGGAUCAAAGGGGAACUGCAACUUUCUUCUCAGAAGGGCUCUUGCAAUUGUACUUCUUUCUGUUGAUUUGGGGGCACUUUCUCUUAAUCGUGAACACGGGUUACUCUACAAGAAUAAACAGAGCUAUAUCACGGA